ACUUUGUUAACCUAUUUUUUUUUGUUUUUUUUAAACAGCUAGACAUGCCAAAGGAGUAUAUUCUGGAAAACAUUCGUGCCAUUGUAAAAGAUGUGGCAAGUCAUAAACCAGCAGAAUUUGGUCCUUUUAUUGAGCGAGCAAUUGUAUGCAGUAGGUCAAGUGAGGGUUUGCACAUUAAAAUCGAAGAAUUAUUACCACAGGAAGAGAAAAAGGCAUGACAUUUUUGCUUUGUACAUAUUUGCAUUGCAUAAAACAUUUAGAUUGUAAUAAAAUGGUAAAUGUGGUAUUGUC